UAACACAUGCAAGUCGAACGAAGUAGCAAUACUUAGUGGCAGACGGGUGAGUAACAUGUAGGUAUCUGCCCUUUGGCCUGGAAUAACACGAGGAAACUUGUGCUAAUACCGGAUAAGUCUUUACGGAGAAAGCUUUAUGCACCAUUGGAUGAGCCUGCACUUGAUUAGUUUGUUGGUGGGGUAAUGGCCUACCAAGACUAUGAUCAAUAGCUGAUUUGAGAGGAUGAUCAGCCACAUUGGGACUGAGACACGGCCCAAACUCCUACGGGAGGCAGCAGUGGGGAAUCUUGCACAAUGGAGGAAACUCUGAUGCAGCGAUGCCGCGUGAGUGAAGAAGGCCCUUGGGUUGUAAAGCUCUUUCGUCGGGGAAGAAAAUGACUGUACCCGAAUAAGAAGGUCCGGCUAACUUCGUGCCAGCAGCCGCGGUAAUACGAAGGGACCUAGCGUAGUUCGGAUUUACUGGGCUUAAAGAGUUCGUAGGUGGUUGAAAAAGUUGAUGGUGAAAUCCCAGAGCUUAACUCUGGAACUGCCAUCAAAACUUUUCAGCUAGAGUAUGAUAGAGGAAAGCAGAAUUUCUAGUGUAGAGGUGAAAUUCGUAGAUAUUAGAAAGAAUACCAAUUGCGAAGGCAGCUUUCUGGAUCAUUACUGACACUGAGGAACGAAAGCAUGGGUAGCGAAGUGGAUUAGAUACCCACGUAGUCCAUGCCGUAAACGAUGUGUGUUAGACGUUGGAAAUUUAUUUUCAGUGUCGCAGCGAAAGCGAUAAACACACCGCCUGGGGAAUACGACCGCAAGGUUAAAACUCAAAUGAAUUGACGGGGACCCGCACAAGUAGUGGAGCAUGUGGUUUAAUUCGAAGAUACGCGCAGAACCUUACCAACACUUGACAUGUUCGUCGCGACUCUAAGAGAUUAGAGUUUUCGGUUCGGCCGGACGAAACACAGGUGCUGCAUGGCUGUCGUCAGCUCGUGUCGUGAGAUGUUGGGUUAAGUCCCGCAACGAGCGCAACCCUCACUUUUAGUUGCCAUCAUUAAGUUGGGCACUCUGAAAGAACUGCCAGUGAUAAGCUGGAGGAAGGUGGGGAUGACGUCAAGUCCUCAUGGCCCUUACGUGUUGGGCUACACACGUGCUACAAUGGUAUCUACAACAGGAAGCAAGACUGCGAGGUCAAGCAAAUCCUUAAAAGAUACCUCAGUUCGGAUUGCACUCUGCAACUCGAGUGCAUGAAGCUGGAAUUACUAGUAAUCGUGGAUCAGCGUGCCACGGUGAAUGCGUUCCCGGGUCUUGUACACACCGCCCGUCACACCAUGGGAGUUGGUUCUACCUUAAGGCAAGGUUUUAAACCCUUGACCACGGUAUAGUCAGCGACUGGGGUG
rnacentral:rRNA from 1 species